GACGAACGCUGGCGGCGUGCUUAACACAUGCAAGUCGAGCGGUAAGGCCCCUUCGGGGGUACACGAUCGGCGAACGGGUGAGUAACACGUGAGCAAGCUGCCUAUCCCAUCCUGAUGACUCCGGUAAACCGAAGCUAAUUCCUAAUACAACCACCCUCGGCAUCCGAUGGGGGGGUAAAGUUCCGGCGGUGGUGGGUGAUCUCGCGGCCUAUCAGCUUGUUGGUGGGGUAACGGCCCACCAAGGCUUCGACGGGUAGCCGGCCUGAGAGGGUGACCGGCCACACUGGGACUGAGACACGGCCCAGACUCCUACGGGAGGCAGCAGUGGGGAAUAUUGGACAAUGGGCGGAAGCCUGAUCCAGCAACGCCGCGUGAGGGAUGACGGCCUUCGGGUUGUAAACCGCUUUCGGCAGGGACGAAGCGCAAGUGACGGUAACUGCAGAAGAAGCACCGGCCAACUACGUG
rnacentral:rRNA from 1 species